GAGAGAGAGAGAGAGAGAGAAGUUCAUGCAUUGAGCAUGUAAGUCUCCUCCAAACUGGAACUGGAAAUUACGCAACAACCAUCAUCUAAAGGCCGAAAAAUUCAAUCAAAGCCAACUAAACCAUCUCUCACUAAAAUUUGACAUUAAUCAGGGGGAAAGAAAUCUUCUAUCCAAUACAUAAGCUGCAAGUAUCCUACCUCAACCACAUUUAGUACAUCGGUAUGGGUAACCAUAAGAGUAAAAGACUAACCAGAAGUAAUUUGUAGCGUCAGUACAGCCACUCAUGCUCCUCUAAUCACCUGCUGAAUAAUUAAACCCACUAAAUAGUUGCAUGCUGCAACAUCUUGAACCCUCAUAAUCUUGAAGUGAACAGAAUGUAUCGACUGAUUACCAGCAGCCAUCUUUAGCGUUUUAAAAAAUUAAAAUUUAACAACCAUUAAUGUUGGCACCAGAGAAAUCCCUUAUGUUCUAUGAAUGCUUUGACACCUUAAAAAAGCAUUCACUCUCAGUCUCAGGUCUCAUCUAAUCAAUGUUGUUACCUAGUAAACAAACAGGUCAGGAAGAAGAAAAAAGGGAAACAAGGUUUCCUGCCGACACGGGACACCAAUUCAGCACCAUCUUCCUGAACUCAUUUUCUUCUAGGCCUGCUAAUCAUGUCUCUUAACAAUUAACAACAUAAAAACACUGGAUUAUGAAGUAUCUCAAAUAUUCUAAUUCAGAUUACCU
rnacentral:misc_RNA from 1 species